GAAGAGAAAUCUUUAAAUGAGGUUCGGGGGGGAGUAUGGUCGCAAGGCUGAAACUUAAAGGAAUUGACGGAAGGGCACCACCAGGUGUGGAGCCUGCGGCUUAAUUUGACUCAACACGGGGAAACUCACCAGGUCCAGACACAAUAAGGAUUGACAGAUUGAUAGCUCUUUCUUGAUCUUGUGGUUGGUGGUGCAUGGCCGUUCUUAGUUGGUGGAGUGAUUUGUCUGGUUAAUUCCGAUAACGAACGAGACCUUAACCUGCUAAAUAGACCAGCCGGCUUUGGCUAGCUGCUGUCUUCUUAGAGGGACUAUCAGCGUUUAGCUGAUGGAAGUUUGAGGCAAUAACAGGUCUGUGAUGCCCUUAAAUGUUCUGGGCCGCACGCGCGCUACACUGACAGAGCCCGCGAGUCUACCACCUUUGCCGGAAGGCAUGGGUAAUCUUGUGAAACUCUGUCGUGAUGGGGAUAGAACAUUGCAAUUAUUGCUCCAUGGAAGGAAUAUCC
rnacentral:rRNA from 1 species